UACGAAGGGGGCUAGCGUUGCUCGGAAUCACUGGGCGUAAAGGGUGCGUAGGCGGGUCUUUAAGUCAGGGGUGAAAUCCUGGAGCUCAACUCCAGAACUGCCUUUGAUACUGGCGAUCUCGAGUCCGGGAGAGGUGAGUGGAACUGCGAGUGUAGAGGUGAAAUUCGUAGAUAUUCGCAAGAACACCAGUGGCGAAGGCGGCUCACUGGCCCGGUACUGACGCUGAGGUGCGAAAGCGUGGGAGCAACAGG
rnacentral:rRNA from 1 species